UCCCCUCCUUGCUGGAUUGAAGAGAGUCGCCUCCAUCCCUCUACCAAAGGUCAUAGCCUGCACAGCCCUCUCCCUUCUGCUUCAAUUGUGGGGACACACAGUAGUAUCCUGAGACAGCACAGCAAAGUGCCCGGAAGGUGAGCUUGGAGUCACACAGACCUGCCGUCAACCAGCUGAGUGGUUUCUUCAUUAGCAAGGGUUACUACGGUCUGCCACAGUGCGAGGUAAAAGAAUGAGACGAGGGACACAGUUGAUCCACGAAUUGCCCGGAAUAACUGAGUAAUCACUGCAGAUUGCGCCUGCCUCGUGGGUGUUCUCAGGGACACAGCAAACAGUUGUCUUUCUGCUUCUACUGCGCCUGCUGUGCUGCAAAGGGGCACUUGGACGGGGGCCCUUGUGGGUGAUGUCUUCUCCCACUGGGCUGGCCAGAAAGUCCACUACAUUUUUCCUGUACAAUGGCUUUAGUAGUGCUUAGUUAUCUUUAACCUCAUUUGAAACAAUUUUGUUAGACUGUAUUGUGACA